UUAGCUAGUAUAAUAAUUAAAAUACACAUAAAAAAUAAGAUUUCAAAAACAAAUAGGAAGUAAUUUAACAGUAUUAUAAGUUAAUCUUUAUAAAAAAAAAAGCAUAAAAAUGUACAAUUGUAAUCACUUUAAGCAUGAAUUUGUAUGUUAUUGUAAGAUUAAAAAUGUGGGUAGGUAGUUGUAGUUUUUCCAUGUAUAAUUUCACAUGCAGUAUUUUGUGAGCUUGCUGUACACAUUGGACCAAGACAAUGAGUCAGACAUUGGUCCAACAUGUGGCUUUACAAUGAAGGUUACAGUGAAUAGAUCUACAGAUAAAAAAUUAUAUUUUAGCCAGCCAAUAAUUCUUUGGUUCUUGAAAACUAUUUACAUAUUUUGAAUAUAAUAUAAUACAUAUUAUUUAACAUACCAUGGAAAAACUUGAUUAUCUGUAAAUGUUUGAAGAUCUCACCAUUAGGUAUUGAAUAUGAUCAAAACAUCACAUGCUUUUUAUCUAUUCAUUGUUUGUUAGCAUCUUGUUAAUUUUAUUAUUUUAAGGAACAAAUUUUAAAAAUAAAUUUAUCC